UCUUAAAGGUUUAUAUGGGAUAUCUUUGUGGCAUAAUGCAUCUGAUAUAAAUUAUUGUGUUUUGUUUGGAACAGGCAUUGGGGUAUCUUCAAUUUAUUUUUGCUUGUUCAAUUCUGAGUUGGAGUUGGGUUUAAUUAUUUCUGGUUGCAGAGUGUUACAUUGAAAUGGGUUGGAAAGCUGCAGAGAAACUUAUUAGACACUGGAAAAUUGUCAGAGGUGACAAUGUUAUGAUCAUAAGGGGUAAAGAUAAGGGUGAGUCUGGGGUCAUUAAACGUGUUAUUCGUUCCCAGAAUCGUGUUAUUGUCGAGGGUAAAAAUUUGGU